GUAGCUCCAGCUGGGUUUGCCCAUCGGAGACACACGAGGGCAGAGCUGCGGUGGGAUAUACAUUCACAGGUUGGAGCUGUGAAUGUGCCCAGGCACGCGUGUGUCAGCCCCUGGGGGUGUUCAUGAAGAGUCUGCCCCCCCUGCAUCUUUGGGUGUCUAUAGCAGGACUCCCCAUUUCUCUUCCCUUACCACAGAACUGCCACCGUCAGUUCACAGACUCCUGGCCCCCAGGUAAGAGCCUGGUAAAAGCCACCUGUAUCUGGGGACAGAGACACCUGAGUCUGAGGCUCCGCCUGCUCUGGCCGCUGGUGCCCUUGAGCUGGUAUGGCCCCACCCAGGCAGCGGGAGUGUCCUCAUCCAAUGGGAUGGGGUGACACGGAGGAGGAGGCUUCUCCCGCCCCCAGGAAACACAGGGAGCACCCGGCUCCCUCGAAGGGAGGCUCAUUACCCCAGCGCUCAGUGGUUUUGAGGGGGGGGUUCAUGCCAGGACUUGGCACCUACUACAAAGUGUGGGGGGCACCCCCAGCACUCCCGCCCGUGGCUGGCCGGGGGAGGGGCUGUGACGUUCGGUGGCCUCAUGCUGCUGAGAGGAAGUAGCUAAUUGCCGACCUGAUGACUGGGCAGGCUAAGGAAUGGGGUGAUGAUGCCACCCGCGGAAGCAGGCGCCCCAGCACAAGGAGGGGGCCCUGCAGGGACGGGGUGGGCCAGGCCAGGCUCUGCAGCGGCUGAGGUGGUUGUGGCCAAAGGAACAGGGGGUGGGGGGUUGUUGAGGCUGGGACCGUGGGAAAAGACUUCUCCCCAGCUUCCCUCAGCUUUAAGGGAAAAGAGUUGAGAGGCCCCAGGGGAUGAAGGGAUUUGGGAAGGGGCUACAGGGGGCGGAGGGGGAGGAGAGGGUGGCAGAGACUUGCAUCUACACUCCCCAACCUUCCCGUGUUUCCCACCCUGGCCCUUUAGCCCCUCUUUAGCCCCCGUGGCCCCAGGCUGGUGAGGAAGGACGGAGCAGACAGAGGGCUUUUUUUUACCAUAAGAUCCCCCGGGGCCCAAGCAGCCUACCUGGCCAUACCUACUCUGCUGAAGGCCAGAGCAUCCAGAAGUGGUGAGACUUCAGAUGUUCUUGAGGACAGAAAGAGCAGGCGCUUUGGACAGAGAGAACAGAACAGGCGAAGGCUGGGCGGCGGGCUUUAGUGAGGCUAAUGGAGGAUGGGGGCUUGGCUGUCAUGGUUAUAGGGAGAGGCGGGGCAGGGCCCUUCUGUACCUAGGGCCACACUGUCCCUUCCUGGCAGAAACUGGGUAACCAGACUCAGAGCUUCUCCCACAAUGCCGACCACAGCCUCUGGCCCCGGCAGGCCUUGGCCUCCACUGCCAGAGCAAGGACCAAGUCAGGAGCCACACAGGAUGGAGGCCCCACCCCCCAAAUCCCCAGGUGCAUCCAUCCCAGAGAACCUGCCAGCCCUGAGCGCCAAAAUCCAGGACGCAUCCAUCUGCAGCUGACAACCCUAGAUGCGUCCGAUCUAAGGGAGGAAGGAAGGCGGAGGACCCCCAGACACCAAAAUGCAGACCUGUUGCCCAUCGCUGACGGAAUUUGGGGACUCUCUGCCUCGCGCAUUGCCUCUGCAUCUCUUUCAGCCCACCUGCGCGCGGGGAGCGGGCCACAUGGCUAGGUGCGGGGACACCACUCGAUGCCCGCGGAAGAUCCGCUGGACCGAAGAGCGCCCCCUGGAAGCCAGGGGAGGCGGGGGUCACGCCCCCUCCUGGCCACGCCCCAGGCCACGCCCUCCCGUGCGCGCGGCAGUGGGGCGCCGGGCGAGCAGCCCCUGGACAGGUGACUCCGCGCCGGGGGAAGGCGAUGGCGCCUCCCGCGGCAGGAGUCCUUUCUCCACGGCCUCUGCCGCCCCCUGCGUCCCCACCCGGACCUCGGAGAGUCUGACUCAGAGCCGAGCCCGCAUCGCUUCACCUCCCACCACACGCCCGGAGACCGCGGAGAAAUGACAGGAUCGCAGGGGCACGGCUAACGCGCUCUAAUUACCCACCGCCGCUCUCCUCCGCGGCGCUUUGCUGCGCUCGGCCAACGCGCCCUAAUUAGGACCCGUCCCCUGUCCCCGGGCCCCAGGAGCGCGCGCGGUGGCUCUGCCCGCCGCCGUCUCGGGUCGCCCUCCGAGACUGCCCUGAGACCCCACCUGUGAUGGGGAGAGGGGAGGUGCAGGACUUGGAGACCCGAGCCUCAAGGUGCAGAAGGCAGCCCCGCCCCUCCCUCCCGUGAGCCGACAGCUCUCCAGUUGCCUGUCCGGAAGGGACAAGGGACUCGGAGAGUGGGGAGGAGGCAGGACCCGCCAUUGACAGGGACACUGAGGCCCGUGGAAAGUAACUGUCCAGGGCAGGGCACCAGGGCAAGAGUAUCCCCAUUUUGCACUCGAGGCACAGAAAAGUGAAGGUUUUCACGGGGAAGGCCACCCAGCCAUAACUCCCAGAUCAGCUUAUUUCAGGGUGGCUUGUGACCUGCCCCACAGGCUCCUUCCCCUGACAGGAAAAUUACCCUCUCGCAAGGAAAGGUGAUACCCUCAUCACAGACCUGGAGCUGCAGGGGGGCCGGGAGGCCCACCAGCUGUGGCCUGUGUGUCAGAAGGGAGCUAGUGAGGAGUGGCUAAAGUCUUGCAUCCCAGGAAGGGUGGGAGAAGGCCCUGAAGACACAGAAGCCAGGCCUGGUGGCCGGGACUAAGGAGGAGCAACUUGGCUGUCAGCUUCUUUAUCCAAACCAGGCUUAAACCUUGCCUCUAUCAGGAAUUCUCUUCUGAUGUCCAGGGGGCUGCAGACUCAUGGCCUUGGGCCAAGUUUAAUCUUUAGUGAGGUUUUGUUUGGCCUGCAAUGAGUAUGUGUGUUUUUUUGUAUUGAAUAUGAGAGCUGACAGACAGUGUGAGCUGUCUGACUGCCCUCCCCAUUGGCAAAGGCCAGUGUGGUUAGACUAGUCCCCAAAGGCAUUUGGGUUUGAGACCCCUGAUUGAAACCAGUCCACCUGGCUUUGCCUUUAACUGUUCCUCAGGUGCCGGGAUCUUGGUCUGGGCGCCACCCCCAUGUGGUCUUUGCAUGUUUCUCGGUAAGCCUGCCCAGGCGAGUGACCCUGGGUGCCCCCCUUUAGGCUUCCCAGAUGCGGUGGCAGUGGGGGCUGCACAUGCCUCUGGAAACCCCUCUGAUACCCCUUUUUUUUCAUCUUGAGUUUCAAUCUGUGCCUUGGGUGUGCCUUCCCCAGCAGGGAUGGUAGCAGUUUUUCUGCCACGCAACUAAAGGUUCCUUGAGGGCAGGAUGUUGGAUCUCUCCCUUUAGUCUAGGAUCUUACUGAGGGCUAGGGGACUGGGGUGUGGGGGUAGUAUCCUCCAUCACAGGAAGCUCCUCGACGGCAGGGCUGUGUCUCCCCCUCAGACUGAGGCUCCCUGAGGGCAGGGCUGUGUCUCCCCCUCCCCAUACUGGGACUCUCUGAGGACAGGACUGUGUCCCCUCUCAGACUGGGGCUCCCUGAGGGCAGGGCUGUGUCUCCCCCUCCGUCUGGAGCUCCUUGAAGGCACUGGAUUCUCGCCUGAGAUGGGGCCUUUGCACCCCACCCUAGCCCUCUGGCUCUGGCAGCACCCAGGCAUUCCUCCCAGGACACCGUUUGUCACGCUUUGAUGAAUGAAACCUACUAAGAAUAACUCAGUCCUUGUAGUCUCUAAAGGACAGAGGUGUGGGGAGAGGGAGGGGCUGGUGACUAUGGGGGGCCUGGGGGGAGAUGGACACAUUCUUUCAUCCAGUAGCAUUUUCCCAGGUGCCCAUCUGGACACUGAGAGGAGACAUGGUGAGUGCCAUAGGGCCCCCUACUGUGCCAUUUCUGCUGUUGUCAGUAGGGGGGUGUCCACAGGAACCCUGAGACUGAAAUCCCCACCCCCUUCUUCGCAACUUCCCCACUGCAGAAGUCAUCACCUCAAGGCCACCCAGCCCCCCUCUAUGCCUGGCCCAAGCUCCCUCUGCUUGGAACUCAGGUGCUUGGGGUCAGAGGCUGCUUCCAGUGGGUCACGGCUGUGGGGUGGGGGGGGACCCCUGGAGCAGUCUUCCUCCUCCUAUGGAGACCUAUCAGAAUGACCAUGGAAGAAUGUAGAAGCAGUCUCUCUUAAAAAAAGGGGGGGGGUCACCUGGGUGGUCAGUUGUUAAGUGCCUGCCUUCAGCUCAGGUCAUGAUCCCAGGGUCCUGGGAUCAAGCCCCACAUCAGGCUCCCUGCUCAGUGGGAAACCAGCUUCUCCCUCUCCCACUCCCCCUGCUUGUGUUACCUCUCUCGCUGUGUCUCUCUAUCAAAUAAAUAAAAUCUUAAAAAAAAAAAAAAAAGAAUGUAGAGGCAAUCUCAAACUGGCAGGAGGGCCUUUGGUGCUCUGAAUGGGGGAGCGGGUGUGAGUGCCCCAGAGGAGGAAUCCCUGUCCCCUGCUUACUCUCCACUCUUCCUCCCUCAUCCUGCCCCUUCCCACUUCAAAACCUCAAGCGUCCAGUUAAGAAUUGAGCCACCUUUCCAAUGCAGCUCUUCUCCCAGGCCCUUCACAGGGGGCCUGUGGGGUGGGGAGGCUGUGACCUUAACCUGCUUCUCUGGAUGGGGCCUUCCUGGCACUCCACCCCCAAUUGCCACCUCCUGAGAGGGACAUUUCAGCCUGAUCUUGGCAAGAAUGUCAGCCUAUGAGCCAGGCAGUCUGGUAUGGUACCAGCUCUGCCACUGA